UUUUCUUGAAAAGAAAUUAGAAAAAAUCUGCAAAAAGAGGAAGAAGGAGUCUGAAGGGAUGAACCUAGCCAAAACCAGAAGUGGCUCUUCGAUCUUGCAUUUCACUUCUUUACAAAUAACAAAAUAGUCAAUUCAUCGAACAAGUGCAAAAUCUCACAAAUCCAAUUUCCCAAAUCACACUCUUACUUGAUCAGUUCAUUCUCACUUGAACCAUGCCGGUUUUCAAAACCCCCUUCAACGGCUACUCCGUCAAGUUCAGCCCCUUCUACGAGAAUCGCCUCGCCGUCGCCACCGCCCAGAACUUUGGUAUCCUCGGCAACGGCCGCCUCCACGUCCUCGUCCUCUCCCCGGACCCCUCCCUCCCCAUCGCGGAACUUGCCUCCUACGACACCGCCGAUGGUGUCUACGACGUAGCCUGGUCGGAGUCACACGAUUCCAUCGUCAUCGCUGCCGUGGCCGAUGGCUCCGUGAAGCUCUACGACCUGGCCCUGCCCCCCACUUCCAACCCUAUCCGUUCCUUCCAGGAACACACCCGUGAGGUCCACUCUGCCGACUACAACCCCGUCCGCCGCGACUCUUUCCUUUCCUCCUCCUGGGAUGACACCAUCAAGCUCUGGACCCUCGACCGACCCACCAGCGUCCGCACCUUCAAGGAGCACGCCUACUGCGUCUACUCCGCCGUCUGGAACCCCCGUCACGCUGACGUCUUUGCUUCUGCCUCUGGCGACUGUACCGUCCGCAUCUGGGACGUCCGCGAGCCAGGGUCCACCAUGAUCCUCCCCGCCCACGACUACGAGGUCCUCGCCUGCGACUGGAACAAGUACGACGAGUGUGUCAUCGCCACCGCAUCCGUGGACAAGAGCCUGAAGGUCUGGGAUGUCAGGAACUAUAGGGUUCCGGUGAGUGUGCUUAAUGGGCACGGGUAUGCCGUGAGGAAGGUGAAGUUCUCACCGCACGUGCGGAAUUUGUUGGUGUCUUGCUCGUAUGAUAUGACGGUGUGCGUUUGGGACUUCAUGGUGGAGGAUGCGCUUGUGAGUAGAUAUGAUCACCAUACGGAAUUUGCGGUUGGGGUGGACAUGAGUGUGCUAGUGGAGGGGCUCAUGGCUAGCACUGGCUGGGAUGAGCUUGUUUAUGUGUGGCCGCAUGGCACUGACCCUAGGGCACCUUAACACUAUAGAGUGGAAAAUGAAUAGAGUGUUGGAUAGGCACAUUCAAACGAGCUACAAGUCACAGAGUACGCACGAUUCACCACAUUGAGGUGCUCUGAAAGGUGGAAUAGUCUGGUCCAGUGGUGAAUUACGGAUGCCAACAGAAACAAACGCUUCAAGUAUCAGCUGAAUGAUGAAAGAUAUCUGCUUUAUUACAAUAAGAGAAGGAAAAAGGACCAUGCAGAAGCUUUUAAUCAUGAGCUGUCCAAAUUUCAGGUAAUUAGUUAUCAAAAUUCAAAAUACGAAUAUUCUCUUUGUUAUAGUUGCUAUAUUACCCACAAGGGUAAUAUACUUAUGUGAGUUGUCAAACAUGAUCAGCAUGCUAUAGAGGAUUGGUAAAUGGCAACUCACUUUGGCUACUGGAACCCUUGAUAAAGGAGAGAUGGGUACUAUUGAGUUGUCAAACAUGAUCAGCAUGCUAUAGAGGUUUGGUAAAUGGCAACUCACUUUGGCUACUGGAACCCUUGAUAAAGGAGAGAUGGGUACUAUACUAACCUCCAUAAACUUAUGAUUGGUUGGCUUUUGAAUUUUCAAAUCUCAAAUAUUACAUAAGAGAUUGUGAUUCUGCAUAAUUGGAAGUUAAAAGUUGAAAACAAGACAUUUAAUAAAGAAAUAUUUAUGUUUAAGAGAUUAGGAAUAUUUUAAUAUUGUGUAGUGUAAUAGUGGCCCCAGAAAAAAAAAAGACUAUUGGUGGUGAAAAUAAUCGAUCCUCCAUAUAUUGGGAAAUAAACAAAUUUAGCCCUCGACUUUCGGCUUCUAUUACUUACUGAUAGUUUAUCUGCUUUUUGUUACUACUAAACUUUGCUUGAUUGUUGUUUCGCCAUUCUCAUUGAUUCCUCAC